CUGAUACGAUCAUGGGGAAUCCGACUGUUUAAUUAAAACAAAGCAUUGCGAAACUUUUAACUAGAUUUUUACGUAAUGUGAUUUCUGCUCAGUGCUCUGAAUGUCAAAGUGAAGUAAUUCAACCAAGCGCGGGUAAACAGCGGGAGUAACUAUGACUCUCUUAAGGUAGCCAAAUGCCUCGUCAUCUAAUUAGUGACGCGCAUGAAUGGAUUAACGAGAUUCCCACUGUCCCUACUUGCUAUCUAGCGAACCAACAGCCAAGGGAACGGGCUUGGCAAUGUCAGCGGGGAAAGAAGACCCUAUUGAGCUUGACUCUAGUCUAAAAUUGUGAAAUAUUUUUAUGGGUGUAGAAUAGGUGGGAGUUUGUAAAAACAAUCUUGAAAUACCACUACCGUAAAUAAUAUUUUACUUAUCUAAUUAUUAUAUAAUAUUAUUUUAAAUAAAUAAUAUUUUUUGUAUUUAAAAUGAUAUAUUCUUAUC
rnacentral:rRNA from 1 species